rnacentral:rRNA from 1 species
UACGUAGGGUGCGAGCGUUAAUCGGAAUUACUGGGCGUAAAGCGUGCGCAGGCGGUUCGUUGUGUCGGCGGUGAAAGCCCCGGGCUCAACCUGGGAAUGGCCGUUGAAACUGGCGAACUGGAGUGUGGCAGAGGGGGGUGGAAUUCCCAGUGUAGAGGUGAAAUUCGUAGAUAUUGGGAAGAACACCGGUGGCGAAGGCGGCGAGCUGGUCCAUUACUGACGCUGAGGCGCGACAGCGUGGGGAGCAAACAGG